AUUGAACGCUGGCGGCAUGCUUUACACAUGCAAGUCGAACGGCAGCGCGGGCUUCGGCCUGGCGGCGAGUGGCGAACGGGUGAGUAAUACAUCGGAACGUGCCCAGACGGGGGGGAUAGCUCGGCGAAAGCCGGUUUAAUACCCCAUCCGACCUGAGGUUGAAAGCGGGGGAUCUUCGGACCUCGCGCCAUUGGGGCGGCCGAUGGCAGAUUAGCUAGUUGGUGGGGUAAAGGCCUACCAAGGCGACGAUCUGUAGCUGGUCUGAGAGGACGACCAGCCACACUGGGACUGAGACACGGCCCAGACUCCUACGGGAGGCAGCAGUGGGGAAUUUUGGACAAUGGGCGAAAGCCUGAUCCAGCAAUGCCGCGUGUGUGAUGAAGGCCUUCGGGUUGUAAAGCACUUUUGGCGGGAACGAAAAGGACUGUGCCAAUACCACGGUUCGAUGACGGUACCCGCAGAAUAAGCACCGGCUAACUACGUG
rnacentral:rRNA from 1 species